UACGGGGGGGGCAAGCGUUGUUCGGAAUUACUGGGCGUAAAGGGCGCGUAGGCGGCCUUCUAAGUCGGACGUGAAAUCCCUCGGCUUAACCGAGGAACUGCGUCCGAUACUGAAAGGCUUGAAUCCGGGAGAGGGAUGUGGAAUUCCAGGUGUAGCGGUGAAAUGCGUAGAUAUCUGGAGGAACACCGGUGGCGAAGGCGGCAUCCUGGACCGGCAUUGA
rnacentral:rRNA from 1 species